UUGUUUUUUACAGGUGUUGCUAAUUGGGGCAGGUUUUCUUCAUCAUACAAGGAGGAGUUCUACACCAUGUACAGCAUUGAGACAUGCUGCGAAUGCAGAACUCUGUACAAAAAAAACACACCUGGAUAUGUUGGGAAAGGAAAAAGGGGAGUGCUGCAAGGUAUUCACUCUGAAGAUCCUAAUCCUGGAUACUGCAGUCACUUUUGCAGCCAAAUGCAAUAGGAUGUCAUCCAUGGAUCUGCCUGUCCAGAGGAGCAAACACCAGGACACUGUGGGAUUUUUUACCAGCA